CCUACGGGAGGCAGCAGUGGGGGAUAUUGCACAAUGGGGGGAACCCUGAUGCAGCGACGCCGCGUGGGUGAAGGAGCGUUUCGGCGCGUAAAGCCCUAUCGGCAGGGAAGAAGAAGGAGGGUAUCUGACUCAGAAGACCCGGCUAACUACGGGCCAGCAGCCGCGGUAAUACGUAGGGGGCACGCGUUAUCUGGAUUUACUGGGUGUAAAGGGGGCGCAGACGGCAGCGCAAGCCAGGAGUGAAAGCCCGGGGCACAAGCCCGGGACUGCUGUUGGAACUGGGCGGCUGGAGUGCAGGAGGGGCAGGCGGAAUGCCUGGUGUAGCGGUGAAAUGCGUAGAUAUCAGGAGGAACACCGGUGGCGAAGGCGGCCUGCUGGACUGCGACUGACGUUGAGGCCCGAAAGCGUGGGGAGCAAACAGGAUUAGAUACCCCAGUAGUC
rnacentral:rRNA from 1 species